UGACCUCGAAUCAGGUGGGACCACCCGCUGAACUUAAGCAUAUCAAUAAGCGGAGGAAAAGAAACUAACAAGGAUUCCCCUAGUAACGGCGAGUGAAGCGGGAAAAGCUCAAAUUUAAAAUCUGACAGUCUUAAGCUGUCCGAAUUGUAAUCUAGAGAAGCGUCUUCCGUGCUGGACUGUGUACAAGUUUCCUGGAUACGGAACAUCAUAGAGGGUGAGAAUC
rnacentral:rRNA from 1 species